rnacentral:rRNA from 1 species
UACAGAGGUCUCAAGCGUUUGUUCGGAUUUACUGGGCGUAAAGGGCGCGUAGGCGGCCCUCCUUGUCGCGUGUGAAAGCCCCGGGCUCAACCUGGGAAUUGCGCGCGAAACGGGGGGGCUUGAGUUCGGGGAGAGGAGCGUGGAAUUCCCAGUGUAGAGGUGAAAUUCGUAGAUAUUGGGAAGAACACCGGUGGGCGAAAGGCGGCGCU